AAGCAAGAAAACUUCAUAGUAUUAUGAUUUCGACCCAUAAAUAGGUAUACUUAUACCCUUGCUUU
rnacentral:tRNA from 1 species